AGUAAGUGCGACCGAAACGGGAAGAGCCCAGCGCAAAGCCUCGCGUCCCCUUCGCGGGGGGCACGAGGGGUGCUGCGUUCGGGAGAGGUCCUGCACGCGCUCCCGAGCCGCCUAAGUUGUUCAUGAAUGACUCUCAUACCCAGGGAGGGUGUCAGGCCCGUGUGGCGGAAAGGGACUUCCUCCUCCUCGUUCGCGGGGAGGGGGGUUUCGGGAGUGCGGAACGGGCCUCUCCUUAGAGUCGGGUUGCCUGAAACCGCAACCUAAAGCAGGUGGUAAACUCCAUCUAAGGCUAAAUAUGACCACGAGACCGAUAGCGAACAAGUACCGUGAGGGAAAGUUGAAACAGAACCCUGUAGAGAGAGUUCAAGAGAACGUGAAACCGUUAAGAGGCUAAACGGGCGGAGAUUCGAAGAUCGAACUGGGGGGAUUCAGUUCGUCGGCCUGCCGGGAGACGGCAGCGGGCGUGACGACUUCCCGUUCCGGAGGCCUUCUGGGCCGAAGGAGCCAACACGGGGAGCGGCCCCCGCCGCCUGCCCGGCGCCGGCGGGCGAUCUUCCCCCCGCAGUAGGUCGCCGCGACGCGUUGGGGAACGGGCGUCUGAGGCCCGGGUCCUGGUAGGAACCGGCGGCGCGUUCGUCCUCCGCUCACUCGUUGGGCGGGGGGCGUUUUCCAGCGCGCCCGUCCGGGGAUCCCCCGGUGCCCUCGUCUUGCCCCCCCGACGGUCACUCCUCCGGGGCCGGCCGGGAACGGGGGACUGGUCCGAGGCCGCGGUCGAGCCUAAUUCGCUGGCUCCCGCGCUUCCCUGUCCCUCUCCCGCGUGGCCUUCGCGGCGUGCAAAGAGUCGGUACUCCUCCCGACCCGUCUUGAAACACGGACCAAGGAGUCCAACAUGUAUGCGAGUCAAUGGGCGCGCUAAACCCACGGGCGCAAUGAAAGUGAUCGGGCCGAUCCCACGGAGCAGCGGGCGGCCGCGCGCACCCGGACGGAGUGACUGACUUUCCUCCCCGGGACGGCGCGGGUUCCCUCCCGCUCCCGCAGGCCCCGCGCGCCGCCCUUCGCGGGGCGGCGGCGGGGGGGGCGCAGGUCCGGGACUCGCCAUGACGAACGGUCGUCGCCCGUCUCGGCGGGGGGCGGCCGGAUGUGUCGGCGGGUACCCAGAGCAUAAAUGUUGGGACCCGAAAGAUAGUGAACUAUGCUUGGCCAGGAUGAAGCCAGGGGAAACCCUGGUGGAGGUCCGAAGCGUUUCUGACGUGCAAAUCGAUCGCCAGAGCUGAGUAUAGGGGCGAAAGACCAAUCGAACUAUCUAGUAGCUGGUUCCCUCCGAAGUUUCCCUCAGGAUAGCUGGCGCUCGCUUCGAACGAGUUCCAUCCGGUAAAGCGAAUGACUAGGGGUGUUGGGGACGAAAUGUCCUCAGCCCAUUCUCAAACUUUAAAUGGGUGAGGUGCCGGGCUUG
rnacentral:rRNA from 1 species